rnacentral:rRNA from 1 species
AGAGUUUGAUCAUGGCUCAGGACGAACGCUGGCGGCGUGCUUAACACAUGCAAGUCGAACGGUGAAGGCGGAGCUUGCUCUGCCGGAUCAGUGGCGAACGGGUGAGUAACACGUGAGUAACCUGCCCCUCACUUCGGGAUAACCUCGGGAAAUCGUGGCUAAUACCGGAUAUGAGGCACCGCCGCAUGGCGAGUGCCUGGAAAGAUUUAUCGGUGGGGGAUGGACUCGCGGCCUAUCAGCUUGUUGGUGGGGUAAUGGCCUACCAAGGCGACGACGGGUAGCCGGCCUGAGAGGGCGACCGGCCACACUGGGACUGAGAUACGGCCCAGACUCCUACGGGAGGCAGCAGUGGGGAAUAUUGCACAAUGGGCGCAAGCCUGAUGCAGCGACGCCGCGUGGGGGAUGAAGGCCUUCGGGUUGUAAACCCCUUUCAGCAGGGAAGAAGCGAGAGUGACGGUACCUGCAGAAGAAGCGCCGGCUAACUACGUGCCAGCAGCCGCGGUAAUACGUAGGGCGCAAGCGUUGUCCGGAAUUAUUGGGCGUAAAGAGCUCGUAGGCGGUUUGUCGCGUCUGGUGUGAAAACUCAAGGCUCAACCUUGAGCUUGCACCGGGUACGGGCAGACUAGAGUGCGGUAGGGGUGACUGGAAUUCCUGGUGUAGCGGUGGAAUGCGCAGAUAUCAGGAGGAACACCGAUGGCGAAGGCAGGUCACUGGGCCGCAACUGACGCUGAGGAGCGAAAGCAUGGGGAGCGAACAGGAUUAGAUACCCUGGUAGUCCAUGCCGUAAACGUUGGGCGCUAGGUGUGGGGCCUAUUCCAUGGGUUCCGUGCCGCAGCUAACGCAUUAAGCGCCCCGCCUGGGGAGUACGGCCGCAAGGCUAAAACUCAAAGGAAUUGACGG